UGGUGAGAGGAUGUGUUAAAUUCAUGGCUGUUCCAUCCCUAGGCCUAAAAACUGAUGCCAUCCAGGCAGACUAAACCAAACAACCCUAGUGGGCACACGGCCUGGGUUAUAUUAUGGCCAAUGCUCAGAAAUCUGCGGCUCAAACCACAGUUUUAUACCUGUUGUCCUUGAAUUGGUUCCACUACCAUAUUUCGAAAAAUGAUCAGCAUCUAUACGGUAAA